GUGGAGGUAACAAUAUCUUGGUAAGUGUUAUUUGAUCCAAGCAGCUAGCAAUUGCAGUCCUGAAACAGGGCUUUUUACUAAAUGGGGGAAACAGAAAAAUUAAUUACAAGAUGGGUGUAAAUUUAAAGUUAAUUACUAAAGAAGGGGAAAUUUUGCUGAGGUAGAGAAGAUUGGACGUAGCAGAGUCACUACAUGCUAGUCAUAUUAGCGUUUUGUUAUUCGACGUUAAUUAUAUUAUUGUUUUAAGGUUGCCAACUUGCAUGCUAUUAUAAAUGGCGUUUUAAUAUUGCACGCUACUUGUAGCGGUGGUUUGAGAUGAAUGAGUGUGUUCAUGGCUUAUGUUGAAUUUAACUAGCCAAAUCCAUUAUAACCUAUUACCUGUCAAAUAUACUAUUAUAAUAAAUUAUUUCUACAUAAUUUCUUGUACUAUUUUAUUGUCAAAUUAUGCUAUGACUUUUUUAUCGGUUUAUUCAUAAAUAUAAUUGAAUUUUUUUAUUCAUGU
rnacentral:misc_RNA from 1 species